AUCCUUUUGUGGUUCAUAAGCAUGACGAUUGGCUGUUCACACAUCGAUAUGACAUGUGCCUCCCUCAAGCCUAGUGAUGAUGUCAGCACAAUGACAUGAAA
ensembl:snoRNA